rnacentral:rRNA from 1 species
GACGUAGGGGGCAAGCGUUGUCCGGAAUCAUUGGGCGUAAAGCGCUCGUAGGCGGACCUUUAAGUUCGGUGAAGAAAAGAACCUGGGCGUCAACAUCAGGGAAGCGGCAUCGAUACUAUUGGUCUUGAGGUAAUUAGAGGAUGAUGGAAUUCCCGGUGUAGCGGUGAAAUGCGUAGACAUCGGGAGGAACACCAGUGGCGAAGGCGAUCAUCUGGGAUUAACCUGACGCUGAGGAGCGAAAGCCAGGGGAGCAAACGGG